AUGGCGCGCAGCGGAGGGGGCUGCUGCCCCUCGAUGGAUCUGAUGCGGUCGGAGGCGAUGCAGCUCCUGCAGGUCAUCAUCCCCACCGAGUCCGCGCACCUCGCCGUCUCCCACCUCGGCGAUCUGGGCCUCAUCCAGUUCAAAGACCUCAACGCAGACAAGAGCCCGUUUCAACGCACCUAUGCUGCCCAGAUCAAAAGGUGUGCUGAAAUGGCCCGCAAGCUGCGAUUUUUUAAGGAACAAAUGUCAAAAGCUGGAAUACUAGUUUCUCCUAUGCAAUCAGCCGAAACUCCUCUGGAUUUUGAUGACAUGGAGGUAAAGCUUGGAGAACUGGAAGCUGAACUAACUGAAGUAAAUGCAAACGAUGAAAAAUUACAACGGGCCCACAAUGAGCUACUGGAGUACAAUACUGUUCUUCAAAAGGCUGGUGAGUUUUUCUAUUCAGCUCAAAGAAGCGCUGCAGCACAACACAGGCAAAUGGAAGCAAAUCAAUCUGGUGAGACUUCCCUGGAGAGUCCUCUGUUGGAGCAGGAUAUGUUAACAGACGCAUCGAAACAAGUGAAACUUGGCUCUUUGAGUGGUCUUGUGCCAAAGGAAAAGGCCAUGGCUUUUGAACGUAUCUUAUUCCGUACCACAAGGGGCAACAUUUUGCUCAGACAAGAGUCUGUUGACGAACCUGUCACUGAUCCGCAAUCCGGAGAAAAGGUGUACAAAAAUACAUUUGUCGUAUUCUACUCUGGGGAGAGGGCAAAGGCCAAAAUUCUGAAGAUAUGUGAUGCUUUUCGUGCAAACCGUUACCCUUUUCCUGAAGACCUUGCUAAACAAACACAUACUGUUCAGGAGGUAUCUGGAAAGAUAUCAGAGUUAAAGGCAACAAUUGACAUGGGAUUAGCUCAUCGUGACAGUAUACUCAAAACUAUUGCAUCAGAGUUUGAGCAUUGGAACCAUCUGGCCAAAAAGGAAAAAUCAAUUUACCACACUCUAAACAUGUUGAGCGUUGAUGUGACGAAGAAAUGCUUAGUUGGUGAGGGCUGGAGUCCAGUUUUCGCAGCUAAUCAGAUUCAGGAUGCACUUCAGCGUGCUACUCUCGAGAGCAAAUCCCAAGUUGGCUCGAUUUUUCAGGUCCUUAACACAAAAGAGUCUCCUCCAACAUAUUUCCAAACAAACAAAUUUACCUCAGCCUUCCAGGAAAUUGUUGACGCAUAUGGAGUAGCUAAGUAUCAAGAAGCGAAUCCUGGUGUAUACACUAUUAUCACUUUUCCUUUCUUAUUUGCUGUCAUGUUUGGAGAUUGGGGUCAUGGAAUUUGCAUAUUACUUGCGACACUCUAUCUGAUAAUCCGAGAGAAGAAAUUCGCUUCACAGAAACUUGGAGACAUAAUGGAGAUGAUGUUUGGAGGCCGCUACAUAAUUAUGAUGAUGUCAAUUUUCUCAAUCUACACAGGAUUAAUAUACAAUGAGUUUUUCUCCGUUCCAUUUGAACUUUUUGCUAAAUCAGCCUAUGCAUGCCGCGAUUCUUCUUGUAGUGAUUCUACUACUGAAGGGUUAAUCAAGGUAAGGGAUACUUACCCGUUCGGCGUGGACCCUGUGUGGCAUGGUAGUCGAAGUGAGCUGCCAUUUCUCAACUCACUGAAGAUGAAAAUGUCAAUUCUUCUUGGAGUGUCACAAAUGAACCUUGGAAUUUUUAUGAGUUACUUUAAUGCGAAAUUCUUCAGGAACAGGGUUAAUAUCUGGUACCAGUUUGUUCCCCAGCUGAUCUUCUUGAACAGCUUGUUUGGCUACCUAUCCAUGCUUAUCAUCAUUAAGUGGUGCACAGGGUCAAAAGCAGAUCUGUACCAUGUUAUGAUAUAUAUGUUCCUUAGCCCCACAGAUGACAUGGGAGAGAACCAGUUAUUUCCUGGCCAGAAAACUUUACAGCAAGUUUUGCUUCUACUUGCUCUGGUAUCUGUUCCCUGGAUGCUGAUUCCGAAGCCAUUUUUCUUGAAAUGGGAACAUGAGCGAAGGCAUCAAGGACAUCAGUACGCCAUGCUUGAGGGUGCAGAUGAAUCAGUUGUAGCAGAGUUAGGGGAGCAUAAUGAAGAAUCGAACCACCAUGAGGAGUUUGAGUUCAGUGAAAUAUUUGUUCACCAGCUGAUCCAUACAAUUGAGUUUGUUCUUGGUGCAGUCUCAAAUACUGCUUCAUAUCUUCGUCUCUGGGCUCUCAGUCUUGCACACUCGGAGUUGUCCACUGUGUUCUAUGAUAAAGUUCUCCUUCUGACGUUGGGGUACAACAAUAUUUUUAUCCUUGCUAUCGGUGUCGUUGUCUUCAUCUGCGCCACUGUCGGUGUGUUGCUUGUUAUGGAGACCCUAAGCGCGUUCCUUCACGCCUUGAGGCUCCAUUGGGUGGAGUUCCAGAACAAGUUCUAUGAGGGUGAUGGUUACAAGUUCGCACCAUUCUCGUUUGCUCUAAUCAGUGAGGAUGAAGAGUGA
rnacentral:rRNA from 1 species